rnacentral:rRNA from 1 species
CGGGUCUAAUUUUUUAAAAAUUAUUAAAAAAUGCUAAGAGGUGAGUAGCGUGUAAGUAGACUACCUAAUAAUAUAGUUAAUAUUUUUGAUGUAAUACUGCAUAGUAAAGAAAUCUUAUGGAAAUCUUUAUAAAGAUUGUAUAUCGUUAUUAGAUGUUCUUAUACAAGAUUAGGUUGUUGGUGAAGUAACGGUUUACCAAGCCAUAUCUUUAGUUGAUCUGGGAGGAUGGUCAAUCACACUGGGAUAGAGAUAAGGCCCAACUUUCUUCUAAGUAGCAGCAGUGGGAAUCUUGGACAAUAUGCAGCAGCAUGAUCCAGCGAUAUCGCGUUUAGGACGAAGAUUUAAUUAUCGUAAACUUAUGUUNANNNAUCAGAAUAAUGAUCUAUAAAUGAAAAGCUCNNNCUAACUUCGUGCCAGCAGCCGCG